CAAAGAGCUGGCAAGUGGAGGACAAAAGAGAGGUCAAGACAGAUGGCAGAACAAAAGUAGAAAGAGAAAAGAUGGGAGGCCUACUGCAGCUGCUCACUGGACUGAUGUUCAUCACAGCAUGCUUUCAGUCUCACUGUGCAUUAGAUAGUUGCCAUGAGGAGAUGGCUCAUCUGCAGGAACAGGAGAAGCUUCUGAUAGACCAGCUUCAGAAA